rnacentral:tmRNA from 1 species
GGGGGUGUAAAGGCUUCGACGGGGACUGCAAACCCCGGUAAGCGAGCAGCGGCGCGGAACCGCUUUAAAAGCCGCAACUUAAAAACAAACGACAACGAUACAGUUGCAUUAGCAGCCUAAGCGCUGCUCGUCCUGCCCGUGAGUACCGCGGCUCGGGUAAGGGCGUCACUCAGCGGUGAACGCAAAUGGGUACACUCCUUUAACCCGUCUGUGUAUUAAAGGAUACCAAGCAUUGAAGCCUGUCGCAGGGCGGCAAUGCGAGGGAAUUUCAAAACAGCGACUACGCUCGUAGAAAGCCUCGGCAAACGGUUUUCGGACAGGGGUUCGAUUCCCCUCACCUCCACCA